rnacentral:lncRNA from 1 species
GUUCGAACAAAGAAGCCCUAUCUUUCCUUCCUUAUUUCAAGUAGCAAUAGAAACAAAGUAAUAACAUCAUAUUUUGUCCAAGGAAAACAACACAAAAGGAUAAUCAAGACAAUAAUUUUUCUAGUCCUAUUUCUUCAUUAUCCAUGCGGACCCUUCUACAACCAUUAUAAGUACACACCAAACUUAUCACCAUAGUCACAAUCACUCUACAAUAAUUAAAUCACUCUACAACAAUUCACCAUGUUGAGCCGCAGCGGAGGAGUCAUUCGUCGUCGUCCAGGUACGCUUUACAUUUCAUCACUCGGGGGGGUGAACGUUGGUCAGGGCCAGCCUACCUGAAUUCGCCCCCACCACAAGCACUCCCAAUGCCCCAUUUCUUAUCAACAUCCCCAUCCCCAGCUGAGGAGUGCCCUCCUCCCUCACCAAACCACUCUGUUGAGUCUGCGACAAUGAAGCUGCGUCGCAUACUCAACAUUGAGGUUGAUAAGUAGAAUCUAUGUAAGGAGUUGACAUACCC